GGCCGGGGCGCGGGGUGGAAGGGCGCGUGGCGGUGACCCGCCGCCGUCCACCUGGGCUCUGCGCGGGUGCCCGAGGAAAUGUCGGGGAGCAGGGAGCGCCCCCCCGCGAGAAUGGAGGGAGCAGGGUCGAACAAGCGGGUGGGAGGUGACCCUCGGUCACUCCCUGGCACUUUCUCCGCUUAGGCACGCGCCGCCCCGCGCGGCCGUGGCUCACCUCACCCGCCGGCUCUCCCAUAUGGCGAGCACCCGGCGGGGCCUGGCGAGAGGAGGGAGCCGGCGAGUGCCCUGGGUUUGGUGGGGGGACAUAGGGGCCAGUGGCGGAGAGGUUACUAUCGGUCACGCGGUAGUGGCGGGGGCCAGGGGGGGGACAGGCCACGGGCACGGUGCCCAGCGGGCAGCGAUCCAGGGUUCUCCGGAGGGGUCUGAGCUGGCUCUCCACGCCUUCUUUUCCCACAUACGUUGCCAGUCCCCAGCGGCUCCACGCGUGAGCACUUGGCGGACACCCCUCUGCACAGCCGCUUCUGGCCGCCGCACACCACACCCCGCACACGCAGUCUCACGCCAUAAACUCACACCUCCUCCUCGCACACCCACCCGUUCACACGUCUUAUAUCCGCCUCCCCCCCCCCCGUACCCCCGGUCCCCCUGACCCUUAGAUUGAAGAUUAUCAAAGCGGUUGUCAAGGAGGAGUAACGGCUUUCAGAGGAGAGACCACCCCACCCUCUACGGUCGUCCUGUCCCUUCUUCCCUUCCCAAUGUGGUGUUCCCUUCCCAUGGAACACCAUCUCUGAGAAGGCACAGAGGAGCUCUUUUCUCCCACGAUCCUUAGAGGUGACAAAAUCCCCAAAUGUCUGAGCUCAAAUCUUUCCCCCUUUCCCCGAGGGACCAGGUGGCUUGUGGGGAGACCCCUGUGUCCUACAGGUGCAAGAACACUGGGACUCUGGAGACUUCGGGGCCUUUGGGUGGCGCGCAGGGAUUGGAGACUCUUAUUUUGAAGGAUGGCCCCCACCCGCCACCCCCGUGAUUUGCACGCUGACCCAAUGGCAAGCGCUUGGCCGGUGCUGGGCUUGUUAUCAAUUACAUGUUGUUCCUACAGCCGCUGUGUCCCCGGGAGGAUAAACAGCAGGCCUGGCCUGGCCUGGGGAGGGGGCGGAGUCCAGCGUCUGUCCAGAGACUGUGCCCGGAACAGUGUGUCCCCUCCCCCUGAAGGCAGCCUGAGCCUCUGGCAGUGCCACGUGCUGCUGUGUUUUAGGAGCUGGAGCCCUAGCCAGCCCUCUCUUUAACACCCGUGCCCUGGGCAGUACCAUAUUCCCUUCUGGGUUCCCAGUGCCUGAGUGUCCCUCCUGAGGCUUGCUGGCUACCCCACUCCUGGUCCCCGCCCCCUUCCAAAGCUCCUUUCCUGCACUCAUUAAGAAAAUUCUACCAGGCCCUGCUUUAGACUCUAGGAUAUGGCCUGGGACUGAACAGUCAGAGCAGCUAAUAUUCUGGAGGGGAAGUAAGUUUGCAAACACAGAACAAGAUACUUUCUCACACUGGCACCUGCUGGGAAGAAUCUAAUAGAGGGGGAUGUGACAGAGGUGCCUUCUGAGCUCAAGUGCUGGCCCAGGAAUAGCCAGGGCUGGGGUCCCGGGUGAGAGUGAGCUGCCACCGGCACAGCCAGGCCACCAUGGUAGACCACUUGCUUCCAGUGGAUGAGAACUUCUCGUCACCAAAAUGCCCAGUUGGCUAUCUGGGUGACAGGCUGGCUGGCCAGAGAGAAUACCAUAGGCUGCCCUCGCCCCUCUCUGAAGACGACAGUGAUGCCUCCAGCCCCUGCUCCUGUGCCAGCCCCGACUCUCAAGCCCUCUGCUCCUGCUAUGGUGGUGGCCCGGGUGCCGAGGGCCAGGACAGCAUCUUGGACUUCCUGCUAUCCCAGGCCACACUAAGCAGUAGUGGCGGUGGCAUUGGGGCCAGUAGUGGCCCCAUGGCCUGGGGGCCCUGGCGAAGGGCACCGACACCUGUGAAGGGGGAGCAUUUCUGCUUCCCUGAGUUUCCUUUGGGCAACCCUGAUGAUGUCCCGAGGCCUUUCCAGCCCACCUUAGAGGAGAUUGAAGAGUUUCUGGAAGAGAACAUGGAGCCAGGAGUGAAGGAAGCUCUUGAGAACAACAGCAAGGACUUAGAGGCCUGUGGCCAGCUCUUGGCUGGGCCACACAGGGGCCACCUCCAUGCUGGGUCUGCCGGGACAGAGUGCAGCACUCCUCCUCCACGAGGCAGCACCAGUGCAGGUGGCACCCAGGGCUCAAGUGGAGGGCCUGCACCUGACGGGCCCGUCCCAGUGCUGCUGCAGAUCCAGCCCAUGCCGGUGAAGCAGGAAUCGGGCUCAGGGCCCGCCUCCCCUGGGCAGGCUCCUGAGAAUGUCAAGGUUGCCCAGCUCCUGGUCAACAUCCAGGGGCAGACCUUUGCACUGGUGCCACAGGUAGUGCCUUCCUCCAGCUUGAACCUUCCGUCAAAGUUUGUUCGCAUCGCCCCCGUGCCCAUUGCUGCCAAGCCUGUUGGGUCAGGACCCCUGGGGCCCAGCCCUGCAGGCCUCCUCAUGGGCCAGAAGUUCCCUAAGAACCCAGCGGCUGAACUUAUCAAAAUGCAUAAAUGUACUUUCCCUGGCUGCAGCAAGAUGUAUACCAAAAGCAGCCACCUGAAGGCCCACCUCCGCAGGCACACGGGCGAGAAGCCCUUCGCCUGCACCUGGCCGGGCUGCGGCUGGAGAUUUACCAAACAUCCAACCUCAGCGUUUAUAUCUGGGAACCAAGAGUGCAAGGUCAGUAACCCUGGACCUAGGUUAUUUUACAUUUCAACUACAGUUUGGGACAGAAUUGCUAGAAAGAUUAAAACCAAAGUAGUUCAACAUCCUGCCCCUUGGCUGUCACUUGCUCUCAUUUGCUCUUGGUGUACCUGGAUUUGUCACCAUGUGUACAUCUGAGUUUCACAAAAUACUCGUACUGGGCAGCGCCUGUGGCUCAAAGGAGUAGGGUGCCGACCCCAUAUACUGGAGGUGGCAGGUUCAAACCUGGCCUUCGCCAAAAAAAAAACUGCAAAAAAUAAAAAAUACUCGCACUGCCCCGUACACUCUGGGUAUCCCACACAGUGCCCGGCGAGCACGACAGGACGCUGGGCCAAAGAAGGAGGGUGCCCAGUCUGCAGCCAGGUGUCCCCACUGGGGACGCAUCCCCUAGUGGACACUCCCCUGUCCCAUUACUCACAUGGCACUUACAGGGUUAUUUCCAUCUUCAUGAGGAAUGGGUGUGUGACAAUGGGCAGCCACUGACCUGGCUGUGGGCCACGAAGCUGCGUGCUCCUCUGACAUUCUGGAAUGUGCACAGGCAUUGUGCGGGAACUUGAAGGUGAAGUCAGCGAGUGCGUGCACAUGAAGCCAUGGCUUGUCUUCUCCCCUACAUGCAAGGCCCAUCACCCAAAGCCCUGUGUUGAUCAACACCAUCUACAGUCGGAGCCAGCUUUCCAGCAUGAGGCCCCCAGGAGAUGUAGGCCACUGGGCCAACCCCCACAAAGCCCCUGAACAGCGUGUCAGUGGUGUCCGGCAAGAAGAGAUGGGUCUGCGGUGUUGAGAGCACUCUGCAGAGGACAUGGAGAUGUGAAGGAAGUGAGACCCCUGGCCAGCAGCUCCCACCGUUUAUGCUGUGUCCCUUGCGUGGGUUGAGUUUCUUCACCUGCCUUGACAUGACACUAAUCAGACUCUCCUGCCUUCCUUACAGGGCUGAGGGUCCAAGGAAGGAAUUCCAGAGGGUCAUAACACUGCAGCUGAGUUUCCUGUGAAGCUACAGAAGACUGGUGUCCCCUCUGCCCCCCAACGUGGGGUGCUGGCCAGCAGUGGGCCUGAAGUGCAGUUUGAUCUGUGUCCCUGAUUUCAUCAGAGAUCCUCCUUUUCUGAACUGCCAGCAGAGUUGAGAAAGGCCAAGCAAGUGGCCCCAAAGGGCAACACUGGCUUUUCCCCAACAUUGCUAAGAGAGAGGGGCCCAGCAUCCACAGGGCAGCCUCCAUCUAGGCUACUGCUGGAAGGUAUAAUCCUGCACUCAUGUGUGUGCAAGUGUGUGCAAUACUGGUGUGCACAUGCAGCCAGGUGAGCUCAAGCAUACUGCUCAGGCAUUCAUACUUGUGUGUGUGUGUGUGUGUGUGCACGCGCACCAGGGCUGCACUGCAUGUGAAUUUGCACAGUGCAUGAGAGUGCAGAGGCUCUUGUGUGGAUGCACAGCACUCAAAUCUGUCUGCAGGGAAAGCAUGGGACCUUGCUGCCAAUUUCAGUUCAUGGCUAUAUUGUGUUUGACUGGCAUGAUGUGUUAAAAAAAGAUGAGAGGGGGCGGUGCCAGUGGCUCAAAGGAGUAAGGUGCCGGCCCCAUAUGCUGGAGGUGCGGGUUCAGACCCAGCCCCGGCCAAAAACUGCAAAAAAUAAUAAUAAUAAUAAUAAUAAAGAGAGAGAGAGAACCAGGAGAAUUAAUAUAUUAAUCCAUAUGUUCAGCUUCUUUCGAAAAUUGUUUCUGUAAGCAUCUAUCGGCUAAGGCAGAAGGUUCUGCCCUGCCCUGCCCCUCUGAAGGGGCCAGCGAUUACAGCUUGACAGAGCCCUCACCACUUCCUGUCAUCCCACACUUUACUUGCAUCACCCAUUUGUGUUAGCUCCUUGGCUCCUGUAGGAAUUUGAGAUUCUUGAAUACAUCCCAACAAUGUAGCAGUGCGGUGAAGAUGGGUCUACAAUGUCCCCUGCUCCACCUGGCCGGCUUCCCAGUCACUGCCUCCAUUACCUGGAGCCACUCUGCUCGCCCCAGUUACUCUGUCCCUCCCUGGGCUUCUCGGGGCUCUGCCUCCCCGGCCCGUGGCAUCUCCCCUCACCCUCUCUCUUCCUCAGUCCCUCGCCGUGCUCCACCCCUGCCCUGCUGGACAUGCUGCCAGCAGUUUAUCCAAAAAGGUUAUUAUCUUGAAAGUUGGAACAAGAAAUCCUCUGAGGAAGACAAAUAUCUUUGGGAAAACCCUUUGAUUAGCCCAUCUUGUAAAAGGUGAGGGCAUAAUUGUGAUCAGCCAAAUCCCUAAAAACAAACCAAAAACUCUUAAAAUGCAACAAUAAGAAGAAAAUUAACAAUCUUAUUAAAAAUAGGCAAAAAACCUGAACAAGCACCUCACUAAAGACUCGCAGGUGGUGAGUAAGCACGUGGGAAGAUGCCCCACCGCUCAUGGGUCCGUCUGUCUGGGUUGCCAGGAAGGUGCACCCGAGGCUGGGUAAUUCGCAAAGAGAAGAGGUUAUUUGGUUCAUGGUUCUGUAGACUGUACAAGAAGCAUCAUGCUACCACCUGCUUUGGGGGAGGGCUUCAGGGAGCUUCUAAUUUAGGCAAGUGUGUUACAUGGUGGAGAAGCAGCAGGAGGGGAAGGUGACAGGCUCUUUUAAACAACCAGUUCUUGAAUUAACUAAUAAAGUGAAAAUGCAACUCUUUACCUUGGGGAGGGCAUAAGGCAUCCCUGAGGGAUCCACCCCCAGGACCCAAACACCACCCACCAAGACCCACCUCCAACACUGGGGAUCAUAUUUCAUGCGAUUUGGAGGGGCCAAACAUCCAACCUCAUCAUCAUAUAUCAUCAGGGAAAUGUAAAUUGAAGUAACAGUGACACACCACGGCACACCUAUUACAUGGGCCAACAGCCAGAACACUGACAGCACUGAAAGCUAGCUAGGAUGUGGAGCAGCAGGAACUCCCAUUCAUUGUUGGUGGGAAUGCAAAAGUGGUGCACGCAGCUUGGAAGACAGCUCAUUAGUUUCUUACAAGACUGAACAGAACAUGCUCUCACCAUGACAGAACAUGCUCUCACCACGUGGUCUGGCAAUGGCACUCCUUGGUGUUUACCCAAAUGAAUUGAAAUCUUAGGACCACAAAAAAACCCUGCACACAUAUGUUUACACCAGCCUUAUUCGUAACUGUCAAAACUUGGGAGAAACCGUGGGGUCCUUCAGCAAAAUAAACUUUAGGAAAAUAAACUGUGGGACACCCAGACAAUUGAAUAUUCAUGCAAAAAAGAAAUGAGUUAUUGACCAUGAAAAGAUAUGGAAGAAGUUCACAUGUAUAUUAUUAAGUGAUGAGAGCCAACUUACAAGGUGUAUACUAUCUGAUUCCAACUAUAUUGCAUUUCAGAAAAGCAAAACUAUGGAGACAGUAAAAAGAUCAGAGGUUGCCAGACGCUUGAGGGAGGAUGGAUGCAUGGGUGGGGUACAGAGGAUUUCUAGGGCAGUGACACCACUCUGUGUGAUAUGUGCCAUUGCACACUUGUCAAAACCCAUAAAAUGCACCGCACCUAGAGUGAACCCUCAGGAAACUUCAGGCUCUGGGAGGAAAUGCUGUAUCAGUGGAGGUGGGUGGCUGUAACAUAUACACAAUCUGGGAGGUGAUGCUGACAGUGGAGAGGUUGAGCCCGCAGGGGAACGGGGGGUAUGUGGAAAUCUCUCUACUUUCCACUCAAUUUUGCUAUGAAUCUAAAGUAGCUCUCAAAGAAAAAGAGUAAAGUGUACUAAUUAAAACAUGGGUAAAAUGAGUAAAUAGAGUCUUAAAAGAGAGCUUAAUUCCAGAAGCAACUCAGAAGGUGAAAUCCCAGUUAGCUGACAUUACUUUUGAAAAUUUUCUAGAGUGGCAGCGAAAGUGCUGUGUGCUAUGUGCCCGCCUCCUGCACGGCCACACAGGGCUCCCUGCCAUGUGGUCAGAUAAGUAGUCAUCUCACAUUUAACCUUCAACAG